GACGAACGCUGGCGGCGUGCUUAACACAUGCGAGUCGAACGGGAUUUAGUAAACAGAAACCUCGGUGGAAGAUUACUAAUGAGAGUGGCGAACGGGUGAGUAACGCGUGAGCAACCUGCCUAUGACAGUGGGAUAGCCUCGGGAAACCGGGAUUAAUACCGCAUAAAAUCGUAGAAACACAUGUUUUAACGGUCAAAGAUUUAUCGGUCAUAGAUGGGCUCGCGUCUGAUUAGCUAGUUGGUGAGAUAACAGCCCACCAAGGCGACGAUCAGUAGCCGGUCUGAGAGGAUGAACGGCCACAUUGGAACUGAGACACGGUCCAAACUCCUACGGGAGGCAGCAGUGGGGAAUAUUGCACAAUGGGGGAAACCCUGAUGCAGCGACGCCGCGUGAACGAAGAAGGUAUUCGUAUCGUAAAGUUCUGUCCUAUGGGAAGAUAAUGACAGUACCAUAGAAGAAAGCUCCGGCUAAAUACGUG
rnacentral:rRNA from 1 species